UGGAUAUUUCGCCAACUGUGUUGAAAUAGUAUUUGUAUAUAUUUAUUACGUACACAUUUUGCUGCAUUUGACCUUUGAAGCGGUCUUAAUUUUGAAAGUUCAUAAGUAGUUUGCUGAGAUAUGUUUUGAGUUUGUGCUAUGAAAUUAUGAAGAUAACAACAAGCCAAAACUAAUUUCGAUGCUUUUUAUGGAUUCAAAUGUAUCCUCAGUGCAAGAGCGUGAAGUCGGCUGCACAAAAUUCCGAACGCUUUUUCAACGACCCGUCUAGCUCUCGAUAAUCUGUAAUUGAAAAUAGUUUCGUCUGCAGUGAAAAUACAUCAUCUCCAACAAAAACAAAUAGAAUUUCUUCCUCACUCAUAGAAACUAUUGCCGCUUGAGGAAUAUAUAAGAAUACUACAGCAUUAUAUACUCUUCUGUUUGCAUCAAUUUCAACGGCUAUGAACUCAUAUUUCGCAUUAGCGAUUACCAUCAUAACAAUAGAAUGAAUUUUAAAGCAACAGACAACAAUUCAGAAUUUCUUGAAAAUGCCAUACAACAUCUAGACCAAGUCAAGAAUUGCAAGUGUAUUCCCUUUAGUUCACCAACGCGGAGGCUUUUAAGACUCUAAUGGGUAUUAAUGAAUGGUAAAUAGUCAGGGAAUUGCGACCAGUUCGUUGGUGGAAUGGGUGAAAACAGUGAGUGAUUUACCAAUGCCUGAUGUGAUAAGCCACAACUUGAUGAAUAUAUUGAUAAUAUCUUAUACAUAUAUAAAAAUAAAUCGGAAAAUGUGUUGCUAAGCGCAUAACUCAACAA